GGCGACACUAAAAUACAGUAUUUUUAAUUUACUGUAAAUCUAAAUACAGUAUAAAAAAUAUGAGCGCGAAACCUGACCAAUCACAGAUCAAGUUUUAUUUCCCGCUUGGAGAAAGAAGAAAACAAGAUACACAGAUGCGAAAAGAACCAGUCAGAUGCAAAGGAGCUGGUUAAAUGUUAACCCUGACAACAGCAAAUGCUCCUCAAAGUUCCA